UUCCAUCUUCAGGGCAGGGUGAAAUUCCCGACCGGCGGUAAACAGGCGAUUCGCCUGAAGCCCGCGAGCGAAUAGGGCGCUAUUUGCUGAUUCUGUGUAACUCAGGAGCCGACAGUAUAGUCUGGAUGGGAGAAGAUGGCG
rfam:Exiguobacterium sibiricum 255-15, complete genome.